rnacentral:rRNA from 1 species
GACGAACGCUGGCGGCGUGCUUAACACAUGCAAGUCGAACGGAAAGGCCCUGCUUUUGUGGGGUGCUCGAGUGGCGAACGGGUGAGUAACACGUGAGUAACCUGCCCUUGACUUUGGGAUAACUUCAGGAAACUGGGGCUAAUACCGGAUAGGAGCUCCUGCUGCAUGGUGGGGGUUGGAAAGUUUCGGCGGUUGGGGAUGGACUCGCGGCUUAUCAGCUUGUUGGUGGGGUAGUGGCUUACCAAGGCUUUGACGGGUAGCCGGCCUGAGAGGGUGACCGGCCACAUUGGGACUGAGAUACGGCCCAGACUCCUACGGGAGGCAGCAGUGGGGAAUAUUGCACAAUGAGCGGAAGCCUGAUGCGGCAACGCCGCGUGCGGGAUGACGGCCUUCGGGUUGUAAACCGCUUUCGCCUGUGACGAAGCGUGAGUGACGGUAAUGGGUAAAGAAGCACCGGCUAACUACGUG